UCGCCUGAAGGCCUCACUCCCUCCCAUCUUCAGAAUCCACCUUCACUCCCUUCCCCCACUGCUAUAAGUUUCCAGUUUGAGUGCUGUGCCACUGGAAACUGGGUAGCAUUUUAACUCUUAAAGUGAUCAUAGGCUCAUUAAUUUCAUGAUUGAGAAAAGUCGCAGGGAACAUUAAAGUAUCAGUUUAAUAUUAAACAUCUGUAAAUUCACAUUUCUCUUCCUUUCGGUCUUGUAUCUUGCUGCUGCUUGUUUCAACCUUUGGUUUCUCUGAGCAGCUCUUCCCUAGAGCUAACUCUGGUCUAGAUCCUUUGUCUAGCAAAUACAAGCUGCUUUCAUCCCAAUUGGUAUCCUGCUGUUCAAAGGUCAGUUGCAAUCUUUACAUCCUCCAGGUAGCCUCUGCUAGCUGGAGGCUUGUAAAUCUAAUUUGCAUACUCUGCCACUGUGGCAGAGUGUUCCUGGGUUAUAUUUUUACGUGAAGACGGCAGACAUAUCAGAAGCCACAAAGCGUAAAUAAAAUGCAAAUACCAGUUACAAAAGAGCAAGAAAUUAGGCUGGAUAAGUAAACAGUCUUGUUCACACACUUGCUACCAAUCCAUAUGCCAGCGCAUUAAUGAGCAGAUGUCUGAUAACCCCUUACAAUUAUUGAUACUCUAGUGCACUUACUUUGCUGUAUCUGGACUAUCAGUGUGAUCUGUAAUCAGUUGCAUACACUUGAGUUUGAAAUAUUUUUUUACCCUUAUAAAAUAGAUGUUAAUUUUUAGGGUAUGUUUUCAAACUUGUUGGAUAAUGGCAUAAUACUAGCUCAUGACUUCUGUUACUACACACGUGGUGGCGCCUGUUUAUUGGGGUUGUCAUCCAAAGAAUUCUUUUUUUUACAAGAGACACCAAAUCCUGGUUAAAAUGAAGCUGCUAAGGAACUGUAUUGAUAACAAGGAUGGUCACUCAUCAUCCAUUCCAGCAGACUCUGACCAGAUUUGAACGUGUGUAUUAGAGUAAUUUAUUUACUAUUAAACUAGAAGCUAUCUGGUCCUCUGACUGCUCUAACUUUGAGUGGUGCUCAACCAUAAUUUUAAGUAAAACUAUGUCUCAUACUUUUUCUCUUGCUUUGUUGCUGGUAGGAAUAACCAUCUAACCUCAAAAUGACAUAGCCAAUCCAGACUAAAGGCACAAUGGGUUGUUCAGUUUGCAACAUGUAGACCUUAGAUUAAAUUACUUAUUGGUAAAUAAAGAACUCCCAGUUGCCAAGCAACCUUCUGCCCCAGGGAUCUAUUAUAGCAGCUGUGUUCAAGAAAACAAUAUUCAGAACAAUUCUGCUCUGUAGUAUCUCCCUGAUGGAUUUUGUUGUUGUAGGGCUAUGGACUCUUAGCUGUUACUUUAAAAUAUCAUUUAAUUCAAGAUACAGGAUUUGACAAAAGGAUUUCAGCAUUUCUAAAGAGAGAAUCCUAGUUAGGCAAUGCUGCGUUCAAGCAGCAUUCAAUUGAAACACACCCAUGAUUUCUUAAAACUCCAAUAAAAUUUGGAUUUGGGGUUUUAUUACUUUAAACUGUCCCCUGCAGCAUAGCAUAUGUAACCAGAGCAUCCCUGUGUUAACAUGAGUGUUGUAUACAAUUGACACUGACCAAUCUAUGUACGGUUUGCACUGCACUCUGUGAAACAAAGGUAGCAUAAAUAUCUUGAAGUAAAUAAGGUUUCUAAAAUCCGUUCCAACAGCCGAAGGAACUACUUUUAACAAGUAAGGAUACAGUUUUUAAAUUAUUUUUACUUUGAAACCAUGAAGAGGUGGGUCACAGGGCUCGCUGCAUUUCUGACUCCUUGGACUCUCUCAGUGCACCCCCUCGGGUGUCAGUCCCAAUGCCUUUACCUAUCCUGGGUAGAAUUCCACAAUUAUCCCACUCCUAGAUAGGGCUUUGCAAUACAGUACCCUGUGUAUUGAGAGUGCUUACUCAACAGGUCGGACUAAAUUCUGACAUCUACUGUUCUUCCUGAUCAAACAGCCUCUGAAAACCAAAGUAUAGUUUGUUUUUAACAGAAGGAACAAAGCAUUUAGAGAAAAAGGGAGUUUAAAAAUCUAACCAUGUCUCUAUCUUAUCUUAAGUCUUAUUGUCUUCUGAUGGUAAACUAGGUAGCCCUACUUUCUUCAGACAUCCCCGGCAUGUGUCUGCAUGUCAAUCUGAUUGCCCCAGCUCCCCACCGUCUCCUGAGAGGGAGACUUUUCAAACUGCUAUAAUCCUUUUGAUCAUCUGGUUCCCAGGCUUUUCCUGUAAUGGCAUUGUCUCUUAACCCUCCAGGGCUUGUGGAGAAGUGGCUUAUCUUGAGUCAUUGUUUCCUUCCUAGUUGUUUUCCUACAGCUACCCAUUAAACUAAACCAAUGUAUUCAUAUAGUAAACAUUCCAAUAACUAGGUCAAUAUAUAGUAGUAAUAAACUAGAACAGAGCAAUUCCAUUUCUUCUAUGAAAAGCUUAUCAGCAUUAUAAAUACUGUCUCGGGGGAGAGGUUGGUUGUAAACUUGCGCAGACUUCAAACUUGCCUAUAAAACGUAUAGAAGUUUUAGCCGUGUGAAAAGGGGAGGGGGCGGAAUCUUGUUAAAUAUCUAUUUAUACUAAUCACCUGAACACACAGUACCAAAUUUCACAUAGAACUUAGUGUUCUUUAAAGAUUUUCAGCUGCUUUGGACUGGUGGUGGGAGUGUGCUGCAAACUUCAUAUCUGAAGUAUCCCAGCAUUCAGGAUGUUCAGAUCCAAGGUUUUGAUUUACUCAUUUCAUUGGCUUGCAUAUUUUUUUAAAAGGUAUAAAGCUUUAACCUUGCCAUGUGAAGAGUAAAUAGCAAUAUUUGAGAAGCGCUACUGCUUUCUGAUAACACCCCAAAUUUUGAGACUGACAGGCCAUGAGCAAUGCAGGAUUGGACCCUUGAAUCAUCCGAGGAAUCUUAUUUUAUUCCUAAAUGGUGGUUGCAGUUGAAUAUAAGUAAAACACACAAUCCUACUAUUUUUCUGCAGUGUUUACAUUUAGAAAAGAGAAAAUUCUUCCAAUAUAACCAGUGUUGUAGAAUUAGGUUUGUAUGUGUUUUAUGGGCUCUACUGCCCUCUGCUGUUGUCUUUGAUUAAUUUGAUUUAUCAAGAGUUCAGACUUAUCUGCAUGCAUAGUUGCAACAAAUUUAACAUGUCCUUUCAAAACUGAGAGUACCCUGGCUUAACCAGGAGAUCUUCAGCGACUUGAAACUCAAAAAAAACAAACAAACCAAAAAAAAAGUGGAAGCAAGGUCAAAUUAUGAAGGAUGAAUAUAAAAAUACACAAGUGUGUGGGGACAAAAUUAAAAAGGCCAAGGCAAAAAAAAGAUCAAACUAGCUAGGGUCAGAAAGGGUAACAAGAAAACGUUUUACAAAUACAUUAAAAGCCAGAGGAAGACCAAGGACAUGAUGGGCCCAUUACUCAAUGAAGAGGGAAAGACAAUAACAGAAAAUGCAGCAAUGGAUGAAAUGUUAAAUGCCUGGUGUCAGUUUUCACACACACACAAAAAAAGUAGCAGUGA